GUUGGUAGACCAGGGGACUGAAAAUCCUCGUGUUCCCAGCCCCAAUCUGG
rnacentral:tRNA from 4 species